CCUACGGGCGGCAGCAGUGAGGAAUAUUGGUCAAUGGGCGAGAGCCUGAACCAGCCAAGUCGCGUGAGGGAGUACUGCCCUAUGGGUUGUAAACCUCUUUUGUCGGGGAGCAAAAGCCGGACGUGUCCGGCUGUGAGAGUACCCGAAGAAAAAGCAUCGGCUAACUCCGUGCCAGCAGCCGCGGUAAUACGGAGGGUCCGAGCGUUAUCCGGAGUUCUUGGGUUUAAAGGGAGCGUAGAUGGGUUGUUAAGUCAGUUGUGAAAGUUUGGGGGUCAACCGUAAAAUUGCAAUUGAUACUGGCAGGCUUGAGUACAGUUGAGGUAGGCGGAAUUCGUGGUGUAGCGGUGAAAUGCUGAGAUAUCACGAAGAACUCCGAUUGCGAAGGCAGCUUACUAAACUGCCACUGACAUUGAUGCUCGAAAGUGUGGGUAUCAAACAGGAUUAGAUACCCCUGUAGUC
rnacentral:rRNA from 1 species